GACGAACGCUGGCGGCGUGCUUAACACAUGCCAGUCGAACGGAAAGGCCCUGCUUUUGUGGGGUGCUCGAGUGGCGAACGGGUGAGUAACACGUGAGUAACCUGCCCUUGACUUUGGGAUAACUUCAGGAAACUGGGGCUAAUACCGUAUAGGAGCUCCUGCUGCAUGGUGGGGGUUGGAAAGUUUCGGCGGGUGGGGAUGGACUCGCGGCUUAUCAGCUUGUUGGUGGGGUAGUGGCUUACCAAGGCUUUGACGGGUAGCCGGCCUGAGAGGGUGACCGGCCACAUUGGGACUGCGAUACGGCCCAGACUCGUACGGGAGGCAGCAGUGGGGAAUAUUGCACAAUGGGCGGAAGCCUGAUGCAGCAACGCCGCGUGCGGGAUGACGGCCUUCGGGUUGUAAACCGCUUUCGCCUGUGACGAAGCGUGAGUGACGGUAAUGGGUAAAGAAGCACCGGCUAACUACGUG
rnacentral:rRNA from 1 species